rnacentral:rRNA from 1 species
AUGCUGCCUUUUCAAAGUAUAAUAAAGAUUUGGAAUUAUUUGGAAUUCUUACACAAGGACAUCACCAAAGCAAGUGUUCCUUAUUUAAAGAUUUCUUCAGCUCAAAAUGUUGCUGUACUAUUAUGGCUUUUUGAACUGAAAAGUUUCCAGAUCCCAAGUUUUCCUUGUUUAAAGAUUUCUUCAGCUCAAAUUGCUGUUGUACUACUAUGCCUUUUUGAACUGAAAAGUUUCCAGAUCGCAAGUUUUCCUUAUGUAAAGAUUUCUUUAGCUCAAAAUGUUACUGUACUACUAUGUCUUUUUGAACUGAACAGUUUCUAG